AGAAAUGUGCAAACAUGAUGAUACCAACUUAAGUGCAGUGCUUAUUUGCGCAUGUACUAUAACCCAAAGAGUUAUACCCGAGAGGUCUAAUCUUUCAGAUAAAUUUCUAUUCCUGCGUUUUGUAAGUCGUCUGUGCGGUGUGGUGAAAGAUGUAUGCAUAUUAAACUCUUGCGAGUGACAAAUACUGAUAAAGAGCUCAAUGAUUUAAUGCGUUAUCACUAAAGAAUAAAAGUUAUCGCCAGUACUCGUUUAUGUCUUGUGUGCAUAAUAGCCAAACGUUUCUACUAAAUUAUUUGAAGUUUUUAAAAU